rnacentral:miRNA from 1 species
AUCUGUGUGUGUGUGUGUGUGUGUGUGUACAUGUGCAUGUGUGUAUGUGUGCGUGUGUGUACGUGUGUAUGUGUGCGUGUGUAUGUGUGUGUACGUGUGCGUGUGUGUGUGUGUGUAUGUGU